rnacentral:lncRNA from 1 species
GGAUUAUACAGCUGUGAGCCACUGCGUCCAGCCCUAAGAUGAUUCAUACCUAUCGGGGAAAACAGUGCCACUGGAGAGAACAGGCUGGCCUCUGCACUCUGGAUUGGUGACAGGAGUUAUCCAGGCCUGUCUGAAGGCAAUAGCAGGUGUGUCCAUGGGACUUCUUCCAGGACGGGUGGGUCUUGAGUUACAGACCUGAAAAGGUGCAUAGGGUUCUGGGAACAGAGUGGGUCACGGGUGAGCCCAGGCCUUGGGGUGAGGCAUACCUGGCUCUGUUUGGCUGAGUAGCUUCAGGCAGAUCCCUUUUCCUUUCUGAGCCUCUGCUGCUGACCAGGGUGACGCUAUUCCAUGCUGGUCCACAGUGAGGAGACGGGAGGGAAUGGUGGCCAGCACACUUGGCAUGGGGCCUGGCCUGUGGCGUGGGCCCACCCCUGGCUGCUUUUGGUUUUCCUUGACCGGCCGCCCUGCCCCGGGCAGACAGAUGCAGCUGGGGCCUUCCGGUGGCUGGAACCCUCAGAGCGACGGCUGCAGGUGCUGCAGGAGGGCGUCUUGUGCAGGACCUUGGCGGGGUGCUGGCCCCUGAGGCUCCUUGCCACCCCGGGUAGCCUGGCGGAGCUGCCUGUCACCCAUCCUGCCGGAGUGAGGCCUCCCAUCCCUGGACCGCCUUAUGUGGCCUCCCCUGACCUCUGGUCCCACUGGGAAGACUCAGCCCUGCCCCCACCAAGCCUGAGGCCUGUGCAGCCCACCUGGGAGGGCUCCUCAGAGGCAGGCCUGGACUGGGCUGGGGCCAGCUUCUCCCCAGGGACUCCGAUGUGGGCGGCCUUGGAUGAGCAGAUGCUGCAGGAGGGCAUCCAGGCCUCGCUUCUUGACGGGCCAGCCCAGGAACCCCAGAGCGCACCAUGGCUGUCCAAGUCCUCUGUCUCCUCUCUGCGGCUGCAGCAGCUGGAGCGCAUGGGCUUCCCUACGGAGCAGGCGGUGGUGGCACUGGCAGCCACAGGCCGUGUGGAGGGUGCCGUGUCACUGUUGGUUGGAGGACAAGUGGGCACUGAGACCCUGGUGACCCAUGGAAAGGGUGGGCCUGCCCACUCCGAGGGUCCUGGGCCUCCCUAGCCCAGGCAGAGAGUGGGGCACAGGCAGGCCCUUGGGUGCUAAGGGCUGGGCUGCAUGUGGGUAGCCCGAGCUCCUACUCUGUCUAAAGAGGGCCACAGUGGGGAGCAGGGGCACCUCUGGAGGCAGGAGAGGCCCCCCAGCAUGCUGCCCUAGUACGUGUUUAGAAUAAAAACCAGUUUGU